rnacentral:rRNA from 1 species
UACGAAGGGGGCUAGCGUUGUUCGGAUUUACUGGGCGUAAAGCGCACGUAGGCGGAUCGUUAAGUCAGGGGUGAAAUCCUGGAGCUCAACUCCAGAACUGCCUUUGAUACUGGCGAUCUUGAGUCCGGAAGAGGUGAGUGGAACUCCUAGUGUAGAGGUGGAAUUCUUAGAUAUUAGGAAGAACACCAGUGGCGAAGGCGGCUCACUGGUCCGGUACUGACGCUGAGGUGCGAAAGCGUGGGGAGCAAACAGG